GUGUCGGUAGUGCAAAUGGUUAAGCACGCACCCCGAAGAAGAUAAAUGCGGGUUCGAGUCCCGCCUGACGUCA